CAUCAUAAUACAUUUGAUCUCACACACACUCCAGAGUCAAAAGGGAAGCCCCAAUCCGUGGUAGCUUUGAUCCACAUGUUUAUAUUGUGCCAAGGGGGGUACCCAACAAAUUUAAAGCUAGGGUUGCCGCUGGCUUUGAGUCCCUGAUUCCAUUAAUCACUGUCAAUAAGAAUGUUAAUUAGAUUAAUUAUAUCUAUUACAACCAACAGCGGUUUGUUAACUAUACUAGAGAUGCCCUACAGGGCCUAGCAGAACAACUGCAAGCUACCACCCAAAUGACAUUUCAAAAUAGAAUGGCUCUGAAUAUGAUUCUAGCAGAAAACGGGGGCGUAUGUAAAAUCCUCCCCGAGACUAUGAUCUGCUGCACAUUUAUUCCAGAUAAUAUUGGACCCAAUGGAAAAGUAACUUUGGCCAUAGAAAAACUGGACAGCCUUUCAGAUGAACUAAAACGCAACUCAGGGGUCACAAACGUGUGGGAUAGGUGGUUUGGAUGGAUGAAUGGUUGGC